UCUCGAGGAUACGUAUAUUUUGUGUAGGAAAAGAUUAUUUACGCGUAUAAAAAUAGAUUGAAAUUCAUCGAGGCUUCGUUUUGAAGCCAAGUUUAAUGAUGUCGAUAUAAUCCGAUGUAGUGAAAUUGGAUUUGUUGUUGGAAGUUUUUGACGUUGCCAUUUGUUUAUACCGUUGAAACGAUGGAAGAUAAAUAUGGCUGAUAAAAUUGUGUAUAUAAAAAUGGAUUAAGAGAGGGGAUUAAAAUUUAACAAUGAAUUUUUACAUUGUACGUUACACAUUCACAUUCAAAUUAUGAAAGUCUGAAGAAUUAACAGGUGUUGAUAUACCGAAUAAAUUAUUGCAACGUGAUUACAUUUUUUUUUUGUUUGUUUUCACUUAUCGCUCGAGGAAACGUAUCAACCAUUUAUUUAAAAAUGAAUCAACACCGCAAACCGAUCAUCAAACGCGACAAUCAAUAAUCUAAACGGAUACACGAGAAUCGAGAUCGAUUCCCAAGAGCGAAAGUAGACAACGAAAAGUCGAAGCAAAAAAGAAAAAAAAAAUACCAAACGCCUCCAUACAACUUCUCUACCAUUAAACCAUCCAUCCAUUCGCUUUAAACGAACCGCCCAAGAUCCAUGUACAACUUGAACAUCGAAACCAACCAGUGUUUCAAUUUCCCCUCUGAAAUUGAUAAUCAAUAUUCCGCUCUCAACGUCUACGAAACGUGUGCAACACCCAUCCACCACGAGUAAGUACACGGUUGUUCCUUAUACAUCGUUACAUAGUUGCACCAAUCCAACAAAGUGAGACUGGAGCUCUCGCCACGCCCUUCGAAGGCUUCGCGUGUAAUUAAGACAAGAUAGAGAAGCACGCUCCGUGAUAUUAGCGUGAAAUGGGCUAUAUAUGCGAUCAGCAAUCGCACAACCGAUAUUAAUCCUGAGAAUAUUUGCGGGUUUCUCGCUCUCAUUAAUUGGAAUUAUCUCGCUCGAGGUGGGUUUCUAAAGUUAAUAAGCUUUGCAGCAGGAACAAAAAGCCGUACGAAGAUGUACGAAGAUGUACGAAGAUGUACGAAGAUUCGCGAAGAUGCACGAGGAUGAACGAACGUUGGCCAAUUUCGCACCAAGUUAAGUAAUAGACGCAAUUUAAAAAUUCAUUUCUUUUCGUAAUCUAUUUUCUCCGUUUUAUAAUUACGUAAUUAAAAUUCGUUCCUUCUUAAACUCAUAAGUAUACUGAACAUUCCGAUUUAUUAGAAUUCCAUAUUAUUAUUUGCUUUCGUGAAGUUAUGCGAAAUUUUAAUUUAUAUAACGAUAUCGAUCUAACGAUCGCGUCCUCCCAAAUUUACAUCCCCCGUAAUCGUACCUUUUCCUCCCCUUCGUUCGCUCGUGCGGGAUGAAUCGCCGAUUCUCGGUCUCGCGACCAGUUUCUGCAAUUAACAUUUCACGCUGCGACCUAGGAUAUUGGCUGGCCGCUUCGGGGCGACGUUUACUAAUCGGUCGACAUUCACCGGUGGAUAGAGACACUUUCUUUACUUGUGCGCGGCGAAGACAGUUUUCGAUCGGUCCAAGAUUGCGUUCAAUGAUUUUAUCCACUCGAAAUUAAUGAAACGAAUCGUUUCUGCGAGGUUGGACGUAUAACGAGCUGUUUGCGAUAUUAUAUAUAAGCGAGAUUGUUUAGGUGGGAUCGAUGAAGGGAGGGACACGUGACAGGGAGUUUGUGAAGCAAACAUUGAAAUGGACUCGAUGAGUUAAAUUCUUUCCAGUGCGUGUAAACAUUGGCUGUGUAAUUAUGGGUAUGAGAAUUGAUUACCGAGACUGAGGGGAAAAAUGAAUUAAUUAUCGGUUCGACAGGCAGGCUCGUAUAUCUUGCUUACAUACGUGAGAAUUUUUUUUUAACUCUUUCACAGUAGAUUGCCCCUCAUCGUACGCAUUAUCAAAAUUAUCAUGACGACUUUAUAAUAAUAAUAAUAAUAAUAAUAAAAAGUAUAAUUCCACUUUCUAUCUGCAAAUUAUCAACGAUCGAGUCGUUUGAUUGGAUCUAAUCCAAUCUACUGUAUAUAAAGAGAAGUUGUAUCGUAAUUAAAAAUUCAUUUUCUUAAACUUAAAAGAUCGCGUGAGCAUUAUUCAUCUCAUAAAUCAAAAGGAAAAACAUUCUAACGAAUUCGUAUAAAAAAAAAUUAUAAUCCAAGAUUCGCCACGCGAGCUGGCGCUACGAUCGCCGAUGAAAUUGUCAGUAUUGAAAUAAAAUUACGUAGGAAUUACAUCGAUUAAAGGACGUUUACGAUCUCGAAGCCAACUAUCGCUAACGGUUACAAUCUCUGUUCGAGAGAACGUUUCAUACGGUCGAAUCCGGCCAAACGAGUUCCAAGUGGAAAACGCGUGUACACCCGGCUACCGGCAAAACGAGCGCGAUUAAUUACGAGCGUCGCGACGUCAAACCGCGAAAACGGCUCUCGUUAAAAUUUACUCGUGCACCGUUGGCCGAUUCCUCGCGCCUCCACCGGAAAUCGAUCGGGCGCGCGCUUAAUUUACGCGAGGAAAGUGAACCGGGUUGAUCGUUAAUAAUUAAGCAGUUGAACGGUCGGGCGGAUCGUUAAUUAUCGAGUUUUUCGAUCGAGAAACCGAGAUUCUCUCGCCACUUUCCCGUUCUACUCGAAUUAUCCACGCUCUUUAUCGAGAAAGCACGUGGUCGUGAAUCGGUUCGAAGAAGGGAGUUUUUUUUUUGGAGGAGAAUAAAGAUAAUUUUUAGUUCAACUUUCGAUUUUAAUAAUUUUCUUUCGAUUCGAAAAUAACAAGAUCGAGUUCAUAAUUUAAAUUCUUUCCUUUUUAAAUGAUAUUAAAAGUUUAUAAAAUUGGUUUUAUCGAUAUUUUUUUUUUUUAAACGUGAAUUUUUGUAUUUAAUGAAAUUCAAGAAAGAAAGAUGAUGUCUUCGCUGGAUUCUCGUCGACGCGACGGGCAAUCGAUUUCCACUCGUGACACGAGUGCACUUCCAUCGAAGAGAGUUCGAGUUCACCGUGGGAUAAAAGAAUGAAAAUUGUCUGAGUGAUGACCUGUACAGUUACUUGCUUAGACGGCUUUCGUGGUUCAGAAAGCGUUGGAAGACAAAUUCGAGGAAAAUACAUAAACGUGACUUCACGUUUCUAUACAUUUAUAUUCAGUAAUUUUAUCAUUUCUAAUAUAUAUAAUUUAUAUUAUUACAAAUCGUAAUUGAUAGUCGUAGAAACUAUCCAACUAAAAAAUCCUUUUCACAGAAUUUAAUCCCAUAUAUAUUUCCAGAACUUAUAAUUUGAUCGAAUCAAAGUUAUUAAAAAAAAAAAAAAAAUCGUCUCAAAAGUUAAGCAAAAACAAGUUUCUCUUUCACAACGUUUAAUCCCACGUCUAUGACGCGAUUCUCGCGUCAAAUUCUCGCCCGAGUAAUCUCGAAUAUAUCUUCUUCGAGACUACUACUCGUGAAAUUCCAGACCUACUUCAAGCCUACAUUUGCAUGCCGCGAGCUAAACGCAUUAAUGAAUACUUGGAGGUUUGCGCGAGUCGCCACUCGACGCUCAGCCUCUCUCGAAACUCGACAGUGGGAUGCGCAUCGAGAUACUGUGCCUCGACGAGUGAGCCAAGCCGCUUGACAAUUUAAGCUGCUUACCACGAUGCGCGCCACCUAGCGCGAAGAGCAACCGCCCCCUGGAUUAACACGUUAACUACCUGUUCCGCCCAGCGAAGUCGCCGUUUCCCGUCGAACAGUCUUCAUUGACGUCAACCGGUAAAUCUCCCUCGACAACCUCGCAUUUUCAGCCUUGACGGUUGAAUUGGAUCUUCGUUGCUACGGAUUAAUUACUCGUUUCGUGGUUAUCCCUACGUUUUCAGAGUAAAUAUGGUAGGUGAAGAGUAUAUUUUGUAAUGAAGCGUUUAGCGCUUGAAACGGUUGGAUGGGGAGCCACUUGAUGCAUGAUGGAUUUAUUGUUUGUUUGCUCGGUAGAUGAAGCGUAUUGAACUUUAUCGUUCCAGCUAUUUGUUUAUUUUUUUUUCAUCGAUAGAUGAGAAUUUAACGAUAUCGAAAGACUUUGUUUGUGUCGAAUGAGAAACACAAUUGUAUUUUAUUAAUUCCGAUCAUUUUUGUGCGUUUCAAUAUUACUAUAGGUCGUUGAAUCAUAAAAUAACUAAAAUGAAAAUUUUAAAUUUCGAUAAAAACUAUUUACAGAAAGAAAUUACUUAUAACUCUGUUAUAUAUUACAUACAAACUGAAUAUAACCAAAAAUCAUCUCGAUUUGAUAAACGAAAAUUUAAAAACGUUCUCCUAUUUGAUAUUCAAUUUCCUUUCACGUAUCACAUUAGAAUUCCAACACGUACCACAUUCACCAUAUCGUUUCCUUUAUCGAUCGUACAAUUCUACCUAGAGCAACCGUUGGUUCUGCUUUGCGACCAAAGUGACGCGUUAUUAGGUUAUGUUAAUGACUUCCUGUUUCGCGUUGGUCGCCACCUGCGAGACUGCUUAAUCGCAUAACUGGUCGCAGAGAGGGCGUAAUACUGAGAAUAAUUGGCCGUGGAUCGCGAGUUAAGAGGUAACAAACGAUCGGUUGGGAUUAACGAGAGACGAAUAAGCUGGCAACGGCAAUUGAAUGCGCACACUCGACCAGCGGUCCGUGCCUAUAGGCGAUGAUAAAUCUGAGAAGCAUCGAGCCAACCGCUAUCCCCCUUCCCUCCUUUUCCCCCUUUAUCCUUUUUUUACUCGUAUCAGUUAUGCGCGGAUAACUGAUUAAUCGUCACGUUGAUACCGCAUUCUUCCGGAAGUUGGAGCCACUGGGCCUUUGCCGCUUAAUAAACGGGUCGCGUGUAAGAGGUUAAGUCGGAUGGUAAAAGCGUUGGCAAGCGGCACGAUUGUGAGAUUUAUUAUUGAAGUUUUGAAGAUUUGUGCAUACAGUUUGAGUGAUAUAUAGUAUUGAAAAGAUUCAGCGAUUUCAGACGUGGAUUGAUAAAUUAACGCGGAGGAUUUUAUUAUAUAAUUGUUUCAAAAUUCAAUCUAAAUUUCACUCGUAUCGAUUACGUAGAAAUAACUCGUGUAACAUGUUAAAUUGGAAGACGUUAUCUUUGUCCAGAAUCUUGCACGUUCAACACAUCGUAUACAAGAUACAUCCAUACAGAUUCACUCGUGUCUUUCGAGGUCUUCAUAUCCAAACGAGACUCGCACGAUCUUGAUAUUCCAGGACAGAUAAGAGCCGAGAAGGUCUCGUUCGUUUCGCCGAGUAAUUAGCCGAAGUUGUACGCCUCUCGUCGGAGGAGUGGCGCUAGUCAUUUGUUGCAACCUGGGAACACUGGUGAGUGCCCGAGACGUAUUCGCGAGUUGAAAUAUCGCGCCGAAAACAGCGUUAAUUUCAAGGCUCGUGGUGAAACAUCUUGGGAAAAAAGACGGUCUAAAAACGCGCGACCGGUGAAAUUAUCUUCUUAUUGCGUUGUAUCUACGAAAUGCGAAACUGUUGAUUUCGAGCUUGUAUUUCUAUCGCGUGUCCUCGUGUAAAUUGCGGGAAUCGAGAUUGGCGUCGUGGAUACACCGGUUACCACUCGAGGACGACGGGUUCUCCAGCGGACGACAGUUGUCUCGAACGGUUAAGAAGAAGAAGAAUUCGUUGGUGAACGAAUGGCUCAAUUAUUGGUGGAAUUCUGUACAUAUUCUAUAUAUAAUUAUAAUUUUAAUUUGAUCGUGUCCAUUUGAACGAACACGAAAAAUUCUUGUUAAUAUUUUUUAUAUUUGAUUUUUGAUAUGAUACAAAUUUCAAUUAAGCAGAGAAAAUAUUUAAUUUUGUUAUAGAAUAUGAGAUGUACAUAUAUACGUACGUGAGUUGUUCUCUCGACAAAAAUUUUCAUAAACAAUUAAAAUAUUUAUUGACGAAAAUUCUACGGUAUAUCUUUUUCUUCAUCGUUGCUUCUCUCCUUUCUUAAUAAGUAGAAGCAAUUAGAAAGUUUCCAACACGUUCGAAAUCUAUAUUUGGUUAUUACUUUAUCUAUACGACAUAGUUUUUAUUGAUAUCCUAUUCUAUAUAUAGAAUACAGGUUCGGUGAGUUAUUAAUAAUCAUGAAAAAUAUACCAUAACGUGUUUCGAUGAAUGCUAUUCGAACAACUUGUGUCUAUCUUAAAAAUACAACGAUAAAAAUUCGAAAUAAAUUCACGAUAUAAUGUUUGGAAA